UGCGGGGUAGAGCAGAGGCAGCUCGUCGGGCUCAUAACCCGGAGGUCGCAGGUUCGAAUCCUGUCCCCGCUA
rnacentral:tRNA from 3 species